rnacentral:rRNA from 1 species
CUACGGGUGGCAGCAGUGGGGAAUAUUGGACAAUGGGGGAAACCCUGAUCCAGCAAUGCCGCGUGUGUGAAGAAGGCCUGCGGGUUGUAAAGCACUUUCGGUUGGGAGGACUGCUUCUAGCACUAAUAUUGUUGGAAGUUGACGUUACCUUCAGAAGAAGCACCGGCUACUCCGUGCCAGCAGCCGCGGUAAUACGGAGGGUGCAAGCGUUAAUCGGAAUUACUGGGCGUAAAGCGCGCGUAGGCGGCUAGAUCAGUCGGGUGUGAAAGCCCCGGGCUUAACCUGGGAACUGCAUCCGAUACUGUCUAGCUUGAGUACAGGAGAGGAGAGUGGAAUUCCACAUGUAGCGGUGAAAUGCGUAGAUAUGUGGAGGAACACCAAUGGCGAAGGCAGCUCUCUGGCCUGAUACUGACGCUGAGGUGCGAAAACGUGGGGAGCAAACAGGAUUAGAUACCCCGGUAGUC